GUCCACCCCGUUACACCCCAAAACGAUCCCGUUUCGUGUCAUCUCGAUCGUGUCUGUUCAUCACCUUUAAAUCGACGAUCCAGAUCCAUUGUAGGAUAUUAAAUAAAAGUGUAAUAACAUCUGCCCAAAAAUCAAAGACAGAAACGAUCUUCCUCGUACCACCGUCUGCUUCGCCGGAACUCUGCCGCCGGCGAACGCAACUCACGCCAAAGACCACCAGAAAAACAUCAUCGAUUCCCCUUUUCACCUUCUUUACAAAUAUGUGAAUGGAUUCUCCCAAAUCUCACCAGAACUUGUCGAAUAUCCUUUUUAAACUUUCUAGCCAAGUCUCAACUUUGUCCAAAUCGGCUCAAAUUUCCCUCCCUUGAUCUCCCCCAUCCUUAAUCCCCAACAAAAAUUGCUUGAAUUCUCUCACAACGUUUGGAGUUUCAAAUUUCCGGUCGGCACCCUUAAACCUAGAUUGCUCGAGUUUUUCCCACUUUCCAGAGUCCAAGAUUUGAGUCGAGCCUCGAGAUAAUGUAUUCAUGUGUUCUUGUGAAGAACAUAUGUUUACAUCACUUUGAUGCUUGAAUUGGCGGUUCAGUGUGUCUUAAUCCGGCCUCAGUAAGUUUUCUUUUUGUUAGCAUUUGAUUUAUUUGUGUUUAAAUGUAGUAAACCCAUAAUUUAGGGUUGUAUUAUGUUAUGUUUUGGUCAUUUCAGUAAGUGGCUUGCUCGUUUUCUGAUUCUCUAUUAGUUUGAAUGAUCGAAUGAUAGUUUAAUUAUUUCGCUCGAAUAAAUUGGUAGUUUAAAUUGGUUUCGAUUUUAUUGUGUUAAUUAUUUGUAGUAGCUUCUUCUGGUCGUGACUGGAUUAGAGUUAAGUAGGCAUUCAAUAGUUAAGUCCGUGCUUCAAAAACAAUGUUUAGUAGCUUAUUGAAUUAGUUAGUGGUUAAAUUGAACUCUUUGGAUCAAUGUUUGUUUUCAUUUAGUUUGGUUAUAGCUGAGUUGAUUUGUAAUUACAGGGGUAUUGAGGGUUGUUUGGUCAUUGGUAUGUAAAGGAUAUAUUCUGUUAUGAAGGAAGCUUCUAGAGGAUAAGGGGAGGUCACAUGUGAGGAAUUGGGGUGAAAUUAGAGGUUUUAUCUAGGGAGAGGGAUAACCUUACUCAGCUGGCUAUAAAAGCAUGUUUUUACUUCAGAAAAGGGGAGAGCUACAAUUCUAAAAUUCACAAAAAUCUCUCUUAGAUCUUCACUUUAGAAAAAAGAAGAAGAAGAAAACAAGUUUGAAAAGCAAAAAAACAAAAAACAAAAUAAAUUCUCUCCAAGUUCUUUAGAUGAAAUAAUAAAAAUAGACCACAAUUUUCCUCCAGUUCAUAGGUCUACGAAAAAAAACCAAAGCAGACCAAAUUCAAUAGAAAACAAAAAAAAUGCGCUGUUUCAUCUAGCUGAUCUCUAGUUCUAGAACUGGAUCUCCAUUUUAGUUAGGUGUUCUGGUGAUUUGGAGUGCUAAAGGUGUUUCGAGUCGAUUCCAAGCGACUUUAGGUAUAAUUGAUAUAGCUCGAGUAAAGUUUGUGUUAGCUGGAGAUUUCAGAGGUGUUUGGUGUCCAAUUUUGAAUUUUUGUGGUUAAUUUGGGGUGCUAUAUUGAAUGGAUCUGUUACUCCUGAUUGAUUUAAAUGCUCCGGGUUACUGUUUUUUGUUUUUUGGGUUGUUUUGAAUAUCAAUCGUCUACUACUCGAUCACUGCCUUAGCUGACUUCCUAUUCUCAAUUUCUAUUAUGCUUCAGGUACAUGUUCUGAACCUCAUGUGUGGAAUUUCAGUUGAAAUAAAAAGGAAAUUGAGGCUUGCUGCUGUAGAUCUGUUGUUUAAACAACUUUUCUGUGCUUUAGUUCUAUUUUGUGAUUUGGUUGGCUAUUCAAUGUAGUUUAAAAUUUGGACUGUAAUUAGGAUUAUUGUUGUAAUAGAACUAUUGAAUUGAUUCCUUAAAUGUUGAAAGGUAUUUAGUUCGAUAGACUCAUGUACUUAGAGUUUGAAAGCUCAUUGCAUUAUAUGAAUUCGAUAACCAUCGACAGGUAUGAAUUGUGCUCUAAUAUCAUGUUAAAAGGUGACUGCCGUGUAGUCAGAUUUCAAUUCAUGAAUUGCCUGGGCUUCAUUCAUUUUAAGUACAACAAUUUGCCA
rnacentral:lncRNA from 1 species